CCUACGGGAGGCAGCAGUGAGGAAUAUUGGUCAAUGGCCGGAAGGCUGAACCAGCCAAGCCGCGUGAGGGAAGAAGGCCCUAUGGGUUGUAAACCUCUUUUAUAAGGGAAGAAGAAAUGCUACGUGGAGCAUGAUGCGUGUACCUUAUGAAUAAGCAUCGGCUAACUCCGUGCCAGCAGCCGCGGUAAUACGGAGGAUGCGAGCGUUAUCCGGAUUUAUUGGGGUUAAAGGGUGCGUAGGCGGUUUGUUAAGUUAGUGGUUAAACGUCGGGGCUGCACCUUGAUUUGCCAUUGAUACUGUCAGCCUCGAGUUCAGACGCGGUAGGCGGCAUGCGUUCCGUAGCGGU
rnacentral:rRNA from 1 species